AUUGAACGCUGGCGGCAGGCUUAACACAUGCAAGUCGAGCGGAGAUGAGGUGCUUGCACCUUAUCUUAGCGGCGGACGGGUGAGUAAUGCUUAGGAAUCUGCCUAUUAGUGGGGGACAACAUUCCGAAAGGAAUGCUAAUACCGCAUACGCCCUACGGGGGAAAGCAGGGGAUCUUCGGACCUUGCGCUAAUAGAUGAGCCUAAGUCGGAUUAGCUAGUUGGUGGGGUAAAGUCCUACCAAGGCGACGAUCUGUAGCGGGUCUGAGAGGAUGAUCCGCCACACUGGGAAUGAGACACGGCCCAGACUGCUACGGGAGGCAGAAGUGGGGAAUAUUGGACAAUGGGCGGAAGCCUGAUCCAGCCAUGCCGCGUGUGUGAAGAAGGCCUUUUGGUUGUAAAGCACUUUAAGCGAGGAGGAGGCUACCUGGAUUAAUACUCUAGGAUAGUGGACGUUACUCGCGGAAUAAGCACCGGCUAACUCUGUGCCAGCCGCCGCGGUAACAC
rnacentral:rRNA from 1 species